rnacentral:rRNA from 1 species
CUCAAAGGAAUUGACGGGGCCCGCACAAGCGGUGGAGUAUGUGGUUUAAUUCGAUGCAACGCGAAGAACCUUACCUGGUCUUGACAUAUCUAGAAUCCUGCAGAGAUGCGGGAGUGCCUUCGGGAAUUAGAAUACAGGUGCUGCAUGGCUGUCGUCAGCUCGUGUCGUGAGAUGUUGGGUUAAGUCCCGCAACGAGCGCAACCCUUGUCCUUAGUUACCAGCGGUUUGGCCGGGAGGAAGGUGUGGAUGACGUCAAGUCCUCAUGGCCCUUACGGGAUGGGCUACACACGUGCUACAAUGGCGGUGACAGUGGGACGCGAAGGAGCGAUCUGGAGCAAAUCCCCAAAAACCGUCUCAGUUCAGAUUGCACUCUGCAACUCGAGUGCAUGAAGGCGGAAUCGCUAGUAAUCGUGGAUCAGCAUGCCACGGUGAAUACGUU